rnacentral:rRNA from 1 species
AGUGAACGCUGGCGGCGUGCUUAACACAUGCAAGUCGAACGAGAACGGGCUAUAGCUUGCUAUAGUUGUCAGCUAAGUGGCGCACGGGUGAGUAAUGUAUAGGUAAUAUGCCUCUUACUAAGGGAUAACAAAUGGAAACGUUUGCUAAUACCUUAUACUCCUUAUUAACAGAAGUUAAUAAGGGAAAGAUUUAUUGGUAAGAGAUUAGCCUGUAUUGUAUCAGUUAGUUGGUGGGGUAAUGGCUUACCAAGACUAUGACACAUAACUGGUUUGAGAGGAUGAGCAGUCGCACUGGAAAUGAGACACGGUCCAGACUCCUACGGGAGGCAGCAGUGGGGAAUAUUGCACAAUGGACGAAAGUCUGAUGCAGCAACGCCGCGUGGAGGAUGACACAUUUCGGUGCGUAAACUCCUUUUAUAUGAGAAGAUAAUGACGGUACUAUAUGAAUAAGCACCGGCUAACUCCGUGCCAGCCGCCGCGGUAA